ACAGGGGUAGCCUACUGCCCCUCCAAGUGGUUGUUCGUAACUCAUGCUGCUGCUGACCCUUUGUUCGCUGCGCAUAGCAGACGUAGGUAUGCCGAACAAACCAAUACCUGCAUCAUCAAAGUUGAAAUGAUUCAAAGUGGAUAAAGUAAUGUUAACACACAACGCAAAAUCCGACGGGGAUAAUUUGAUGUUAACUUCUAUAUGUGACACAUCAGAAAGGUGAAUAUAAUCAUAUUUCGCUGCAUGGUCAAAACUUCUCCACCUUACGAAUCAUACUAAUUACUUUAAUGACGGCAUUGGCAUUAAGAACAUACUAUAAAAUCUUCCAAAUAAGCUGUUAUCUCUGACAAUUCUUCUUCCUCAUUCUUUACUCUUUCAAAAAAUUCCUGUCCUUUAUAUUGUGCCACAUGCGGACAAUGAUCAACUGAGAGAGCAUGUUCUGUCCAUGGAUCAUCUUCUGAUUGCCAAUUUCCGAUGACAGCUGGG